GGGCCGUUAGCUCAGUUGGAUAGAGCAAGUACCUUCUAAGUACUCAGUCGCUGGUUCGAAUCCAGCACGGCCCG
rnacentral:tRNA from 1 species